AGUUUGAUCUUUGGUCAGGAUGAACGCUAGCUACAGGCCUAACACAUGCUUUUCGAGGGGAAACGGCAGCUUAGCUUGCUAAGCUGGACGUCGACCUGCGCACGGGUGAGUAACGCGUAUCCAACCUGCCCCACGGUGAGGGAUAACCCGCGGAAACGCGGCCUAAUACCCCAUGGUCUCCGAGCUUGACAUCAACCUUGGAGUAAAGAUUCAUUGCCGUGGGAUGGGGAUGCGUCUGAUUAGCUUGUUGGCGGGGCAACGGCCCACCAAGGCAACGAUCAGUAGGGGUUCUGAGAGGAAAGCCCCCCACAUUGGAACUGAGACACGGUCCAAACUCCUACGGGAGGCAGCAGUGAGGAAUAUUGGUCAAUGGGCGAGAGCCUGAACCAGCCAAGUAGCGUGCAGGAAGACGGCCCUAUGGGUUGUAAACUGCUUUUAUGCGGGGAUAAAAUGGGUGACGUGUCGCCCUUUGCAGGUACCGCAUGAAUAAGGACCGGCUAAUUCCGUGCCAGCAGCCGCGGUAAUACGGAAGGUCCGGGCGUUAUCCGGAUUUAUUGGGUUUAAAGGGAGCGCAGGCCGGGUAUUAAGCGUGUUGUGAAAUGUAGGCGCCCAACGUCUGCACCGCAGCGCGAACUGGUGCCCUUGAGUACGCACGACGUUGGCGGAAUUCGCCGUGUAGCGGUGAAAUGCUUAGAUAUGGCGAAGAACUCCGAUUGCGAAGGCAGCUGACGGGAGCGCUACUGACGCUCAUGCUCGAAAGCGCGGGUAUCGAACAGGAUUAGAUACCCUGGUAGUCCGCGCGGUAAACGAUGGAUGCCCGCUAUUUGCGCAUUAGCGCAAGUGGCCAAGUGAAAACGUUAAGCAUCCCACCUGGGGAGUACGCCGGCAACGGUGAAACUCAAAGGAAUUGACGGGGGCCCGCACAAGCGGAGGAACAUGUGGUUUAAUUCGAUGAUACGCGAGGAACCUUACCCGGGCUUGAAUUGCAGAGGAAAGAUCCAGAGAUGGUGAUGCCCUUCGGGGCCUCUGUGAAGGUGCUGCAUGGUUGUCGUCAGCUCGUGCCGUGAGGUGUCGGCUUAAGUGCCAUAACGAGCGCAACCCCUCUCCAUAGUUGCCAUCAGGUAAUGCUGGGCACUCUGUGGACACUGCCACCGUAAGGUGCGAGGAAGGUGGGGAUGACGUCAAAUCAGCACGGCCCUUACGUCCGGGGCUACACACGUGUUACAAUGGGGGGUACAGAGAGUCGGGACAACGCGAGUUGCCCCCAAUCAUCAAAGCCCCCCUCAGUUCGGACUGGGGUCUGCAACCCGACCCCACGAAGCUGGAUUCGAUAGUAAUCGCGCAUCAGCCAUGGCGCGGUGAAU
rnacentral:rRNA from 1 species